rnacentral:rRNA from 1 species
GACGAACGCUGGCGGCGUGCUUAACACAUGCAAGUCGAACGGAAAGGCCCUGCUUUUGUGGGGUGCUCGAGUGGCGAACGGGUGAUUAACACGUGAGUAACCUGCCCUUGACUUUGGGAUAACUUCAGGAAACUGGGGCUAAUACCGGAUAGGAGCUCCUGCUGCAUGGUGGGGGUUGGAAAGUUUCGGCGGUUGGGGAUGGACUCGCGGCUUAUCAGCUUGUUGGUGGGGUAGUGGCUUACCAAGGCUUUGACGGGUAGCCGGCCUGAGAGGGUGACCGGCCACAUUGGGACUGAGAUACGGCCCAGACGCCUACGGGAGGCAGCAGUGGGGAAUAUUGCACAAUGGGCGGAAGCCUGAUGCAGCAACGCCGCGUGCGGGAUGACGGCCUUCGGGUUGUAAACCGCUUUCGCCUGUGACGAAGCGUGAGUGACGGUAAUGGGUAAAGAAGCACCGGCUAACUACGUG